rnacentral:RNase_P_RNA from 1 species
GAGUUGGCCAGGCAAUCGCUCAUGGAAGCGCUUUUAGUGCGAAUAUGGGAGGAAAGUCCGGGCUCCAUGGGACAGAGCGCCAGGUAAUGCCUGGGGGAUGUGAAUCCACGGAAAGUGCAGCAGAAAGAAAACCGCCUGUUCAUUGAAGAAAAUGAAUAGGUAAGGGUGAAAUGGUGUGGUAAGAGCGCACCGCAUGCAUUGGUAACAAUCAUGGCUAGGUAAACCCCGCUCGGAGCAAGGCCAAAUAGGAGCGAAAUGGCGUCGUCCCCGCCGGUCGUGGUUGCCACGGCACUAGCUCGGGUAGGCUGCUAGAGGUGCAUGGUGACAUGGAUCCUAGAUGAAUGAUUGCCCAUGACAGAACCCGGCUUACCGGCCAACUCGUC